UAUAGCGCUAUUGCUAGAUUUGGCAGACAGAGAGCUGCAUAAAAGAUGUAUUUUUAGAGACCGUGCAGACUUACUUGCAGAGAAUGAUGACUGGUUGAUUAGUCGUUUCAGACUACCCAGACCACUUAUUUUGUAUUUAUGCAGUAUAUUGGAGGCCAAACUCAGAAGGGAAACCAGAAGAUCCCACAGCAUUCCUGCACACUUACAGGUGCUGUCCGUGCUUGUUUUUUUUGGCAACAGGAACAUUCCAGCAGGAGAUUGCAGACAGUGGUCCUGACAGAACUCAUGAUAGUUUCAUCCUUCGGAGCAGCUCAGUUGGCAGACGUUUGGACAGUGGUGCAGUUGAAGACGGAUGGCUAAUUGCACUUCUUGACUUAAAACCGUCUGUGCAGAGCCAACACUGCGCGGGAUGGUGCGGAAUAUACUGCCGGUCCAGGUGCCCUAGGAUGAAUGGGUCUGGUUGCCGCUUCAGUGGCCUCAUGGGCGGACACAGUUGGCAUUUGUCUGUCUUUACAAAGAAUAAUAAAAAAAAAAAUCAGCUCAAAUGUGCAUUUCCUCUAAAAUUAUUAUAUCUCUUAGUUUUAACACUUUAAAAUUGACCUAAAUUAUUUAAUAAAACUGUAGCCUUACCA